ACCUUAUAGUGAAUCAAAAGGUUGGAACUAUGUCCUGAAGUAAGGUUCUGCAAGACAUACUUGUAUAGCUUUAGUUUUCCGCUGUGACGACAUGAUAGAGCAAAGUAUUUAUGAAAAAGUCAUAUCGACUUAACAGUGGGUCUCACAGAUUAUUGGACUAGACUGUGAUGGCUUUUCCAUCAUGCUUAGUUUGUAGUAGAUGUCUUGCUGUUGCUACACAAGAAUAUAUGAUUAUUACUGGUCCAGUUACAUAAGGCGGUCAGGAGCAAGGACAGCUCUAGCAGCUUCAUACUGAACAGUUAAUACCGCCAUGUUCCUCCUUUUCAGUGUUGUCAUAGCUACACGGAACUUGAUGAUUGAUGUUAUAGUUUGGUGACGGGAGUUGCCCCAAGAGCUGAGUGCUUAUUCCAGAGCAAUGAGUGAGUCUUGAACUGAUCGGCCGCUGGGAUGGUGUGUGUCAUAUGUGGAUUCUCAAAUUGAGGCUGUGGCUGCCUUUUCGGAAGAUUCUGUUAGAAUUUGAUUCACGUUGAGAGGAUGAGCAGGAUGACAUGAGCCUCCAUACCUGAAGUGGUGAAUCCUCCUAUAAAUAUGUAGCAUUUUUCAGGUAGAUUAUGAAUGUCGGGAUGUUGCAUCACUGAGAAAUUUUCAUUUCAUUCACAUUUGGUUGAUUACUUUGUAAUUGUUCGUGUGACCAACUUUUGUGUUCUUUACUUCAUCUCUGUUCAUCUUAUGUGAAUAAACCUGACUCCAUGUAGAAAUAGACUCGUCAUUAGUCUCGCA